UAUAACGCUCUAUCCACCCUCGGCAACCUGGGUGGUCGACUCGGCUUCUGGAGCGAGCUUGGAUGGCUGGAGUGAAGACUUCGACGGGGAGGGGCAAUGCACGCAAAACAGACGGAACGUUUAAGUACGGAAACCAACCCAGAGCGAAGAAUGAAAGAAUAGGAAACCUAAUAGCAUUCGGAG